GAUGAACGCUGGCGGCGUGCCUAAUACAUGCAAGUCGAGCGAACGGACGAGAAGCUUGCUUCUCUGAUGUUAGCGGCGGACGGGUGAGUAACACGUGGAUAACCUACCUAUAAGACUGGGAUAACUUCGGGAAACCGGAGCUAAUACCGGAUGAUAUUUUGAACCGCAUGGUUCAAAAGUGAAAGACGGUCUUGCUGUCACUUAUAGAUGGAUCCGCGCUGCAUUAGCUAGUUGGUAAGGUAACGGCUUACCAAGGAAACGAUGCAUAGCCGACCUGAGAGGGUGAUCGGCCACACUGGAACUGAGACACGGUCCAGACUCCUACGGGAGGCAGCAGUAGGGAAUCUUCCGCAAUGGGCGAAAGCCUGACGGAGCAACGCCGCGUGGUUGAUGAAGGUCUUCGGAUCGUAAAACUCUGUUAUUAGGGAAGAACAUAUGUGUAAGUAACUGUGCACAUCUUGACGGUACCUAAUCAGAAAGCCACGGCUAACUACGUG
rnacentral:rRNA from 1 species